GGCGUGAAAUGCCAGAGGGAUAUGUACCUCGCUAGUGACGUCAUGUCAUUAAGGUGUUCACCCCACCCCGUCCAAGGCGCCCUUGAACGUGACGUCACCUCUGCCAGGGUCGCUGCCGUUUUCUGUUCAAUUAGAAUCAUAUUUGGGCAAGGCCACGCCCAGUGACUGGCGGCUCAUUAACAUAAUCUAUUCACGUACGGAGGCGCUCAUUGUGGGAGGGGAGUAUUAUCGUUCUCCACAAGUGACGUCAUGUCACCUCUUGCUGCCGCGUGACAUCACGAGAUAACAGGAAGCUGCUGCUCCGCCCGUGCACUGAAAUCCGAGGCUAAGCCCGCUUGAGCUACUGUUCCGCUUUUUGUUUUCAGAAGCGACCUGCCCACAACACAACACAAGCUGUCGCUUCCUCUGCAGAAUUGGUCUGAUGGAGCAAAGGCACUCGGCGCAGCUCGGUGCAAAAAGGCAUCAAUGCGACCGGUGUGCAUACAGCACGGAUAGUACUGCACAUUUCACGUGGCACCAGAGAACCCACACGGGAGAGAAACCCUUCAAGUGCAAUGUGUGUGGGAAGGCGUUUGCAAAGUCACCAAAUCUUCAUGUACACCAG